CCCUUAGAGUUUGAUCCUGGCUCAGGAUGAACGCUGGCGGCGUGCCUAAUACAUGCAAGUCGAACGAAUCUUCUUCGGAAGAUGAGUGGCGAACGGGUGAGUAAUACAUAGGUAACCUGCCCCUGUGCGGGGGAUAACAGGAGGAAACUCCUGCUAAUACCGCAUAGCCAUGAGCACCGCAUGGAGCUCAUGCCAAAUAUCCUUUACGGGAUAGCGCAGGGAUGGACCUAUGGCGCAUUAGCUAGUUGGCGGGGCAACGGCCCACCAAGGCAACGAUGCGUAGCCGGCCUGAGAGGGCGGACGGCCACAUUGGGACUGAGACACGGCCCAGACUCCUACGGGAGGCAGCAGUAGGGAAUUUUCGGCAAUGGGGGAAACCCUGACCGAGCAACGCCGCGUGAGCGAAGAAGGCCUUCGGGUCGUAAAGCUCUGUUGUAAAGGAAGAACGUCGCAUGCAGGAAAUGGUGUGCGAGUGACGGUACUUUACCAGAAAGCCACGGCUAACUACGUGCCAGCAGCCGCGGUAAUACGUAGGUGGCGAGCGUUAUCCGGAAUCAUUGGGCGUAAAGAGGGAGCAGGCGGCCGCAAGGGUCUGUGGUGAAAGACCGAAGCUAAACUUCGGUAAGCCAUGGAAACCGGGCGGCUAGAGUGCGGAAGAGGAUCGUGGAAUUCCAUGUGUAGCGGUGAAAUGCGUAGAUAUAUGGAGGAACACCAGUGGCGAAGGCGACGGUCUGGGCCGCAACUGACGCUCAUUCCCGAAAGCGUGGGGAGCAAAUAGAAUUAGAUACCCUAGUAGUCCACGCCGUAAACGAUGGUCACUAAGUGUCGGGGGUCAAACCCCGGUGCUGCAGUCAACGCAAUAAGUGACCCGCCUGAGUA
rnacentral:rRNA from 1 species